rnacentral:rRNA from 1 species
AAAGCGUGCGCAGGCGGUUUUGUAAGACUGUCGUGAAAUCCCCGGGCUCAACCUGGGAAUGGCGAUGGUGACUGCAAGGCUAGAGUUUGGCAGGAGGGGGUAGAAUUCCACGUGUAGCAGUGAAAUGCGUAGAUAUGUGGAGGAACACCGAUGGCGAAGGCAGCCCCCUGGGUCAAAACUGACGCUCAUGCACGAAAGCGUGGGGAGCAAACAGGAUUAGAUACCCUUGU